ACCAUCGUGGUCUAGUGAUCAACACGCUCGGAUGAUAUUCGAGAGAUCCGCGGUUCGAGUCCCGGCGAGGGCA
rnacentral:tRNA from 1 species